UAUCCAUCUCCCAGCCCCCAGAGAAAAGGGCUUUAGUUCCUCCCCCUGCCUGUGAAGUCUGCAGGCCAGAUUCGCGCCCUCCCCUGAGUUCUGGCCAGGAGGCUUCUUGCCCUGUUCAAAUGGUUACAAAGUUCAGCUAGAGAAUUCCUUCUCCCUGUAGAGUUUUACCCCCUGCUCCUCUGGCCGCCCUCCGGAUGGAUCUUUGUGUUGCCAGGCAGGAAUGGGCUGCUUGGGGACCCAGUGAGCUCCGAGGGCCUUUCUGCUGCUUCCUGUACCCCUGUAUUUCGCUCAGCUCUCUGACUUGACUCAGCUCCAGAAUACAAAUAUGCCUUCCCAAUCAUCUCCCAAAGUCUC
rnacentral:lncRNA from 1 species